CAACUUCCACCUGGCUUACCUCCUCAUUUAUGCGUCAUGACUUGUAUYGUCUUGAGCGUAUUGUGGGUUUCCUGUGUUGCAUACCUAUCUAAUGGUAUCGUGUUGCUUGAUCAAAGUCCCUUUUCAUCUUGUGUUGCUUUUUGCGACGCAUGAUGAACCUUGAGGCGGUCUCUAUGUUCCACCACGUUGAUGCUAGCGUUUUGAUGUUGUGGCCCAUUGAGCGUUGCUUGGUUUCAUGGAUACAGAACAUGAUUUGGGCAUAGGGUUACUUGUGACUCUUGUUUUGUCCUUUAUCAGUGUUCUUUAUAACGACGGUUCAUGUGCGCCUAGGCUCGUACCUGCGCGAUGUUCUUUGUCGAAGAGGAAUGCUACCUGGUUGAUCCUGCCAGUAGUCAUAUGCUUGUCUCAAAGAUUAAGCCAUGCAUG
rnacentral:misc_RNA from 1 species